AUUGAACGCUGGCGGCAGGCUUAACACAUGCAAGUCGAGCGGAGGUGAGGUGCUUGCACCUUAUCUUAGCGGCGGACGGGUGAGUAAUGCUUAGGAAUCUGCCUAUUAGUGGGGGACAACAUUCCGAAAGGAAUGCUAAUACCGCAUACGUCCUACGGGAGAAAGCAGGGGAUCUUCGGACCUUGCGCUAAUAGAUGAGCCUAAGUCGGAUUAGCUAGUUGGUGGGGUAAAGGCCUACCAAGGCGACGAUCUGUAGCGGGUCUGAGGGGCUGAUCCGCCACACUGGGACUGAGACACGGCCCAGACUCCUACGGGAGGCAGCAGUGGGGAAUAUUGGACAAUGGGCGGAAGCCUGAUCCAGCCAUGCCGCGUGUGUGAAGAAGGCCUUUUGGUUGUAAAGCACUUUAAGCGAGGAGGAGGCUACCUAGAUUAAUACUCUGGGAUAGUGGACGUUACUCGCAGAAUAAGCACCGGCUAACUCUGUGCCAGCAGCCGCCGUAAUAC
rnacentral:rRNA from 1 species